GUGGCGAGCAUUUUCAACAAUUUGCUGGAGCUUGUUACCUUCAAACUUAUCAUUUAAAAUCAUGCAUACUUCUCCAGCAACCGAUUGAGCCAAAUCAUUGACAAGAUCGUGCAUCACAAACUGCGAUUCCUCAAUGCUUGAUCUUUGAAAAAAUGACCUUGAUAGUAGUUCAUUAAAAUAAGAAUCAAACUCUUCCAUCUGCUUUUUUCCUCCUACUUGCGGCAGAAAACCCUCAGCCAUCCAU
rnacentral:misc_RNA from 1 species